rnacentral:rRNA from 1 species
AUGAACGCUGGCGGCGUGCCUAAUACCUGCAAGUCGAGCGAACAGACGAGGAGCUUGCUCCUCUGACGUUAGCGGCGGACGGGUGAGUAACACGUGGAUAACCUACCUAUAAGACUGGGAUAACUUCGGGAAACCGGAGCUAAUACCGGAUAAUAUAUUGAACCGCAUGGUUCAAUAGUGAAAGACGGUUUUGCUGUCACUUAUAGAUGGAUCCGCGCCGCAUUAGCUAGUUGGUAAGGUAACGGCUUACCAAGGCAACGAUGCGUAGCCGACCUGAGAGGGUGAUCGGCCACACUGGAACUGAGACACGGUCCAGACUCCUACGGGAGGCAGCAGUAGGGAAUCUUCCGCAAUGGGCGAAAGCUUGACGGAGCAACGCCGCGUGAGUGAUGAAGGUCUUCGGAUCGUAAAACUCUGUUAUUAGGGAAGAACAAAUGUGUAAGUAACUAUGCACGUCUUGACGGUACCGAAUCAGAAAGCCACGGCUAACUACGUG